UUUCCCAUCAUUCCAAUCACUAGAAAUAGAAUUUCCAGCGUUGUUAUUUCUUGUCACUACCUCCCUGAGUCAGGAUUGGGUAAUUUGCGCGCCUGCUGCCUUCCUUAGAUGUGGUAGCCGUUUCUCAGGCUCCCUCUCCGGAAUCGAACCCUAAUUCCCCGUUACCCGUCACUGCCACGGUAGUCCAAUACAGUACCGUCGAAAGCUGAUAGGUCAGAAACUUGAAUGAUCCAUCGCCGACCCGAAGGUCAUAAUGCGAUCCGUUCGGUUACUAUGAAUCACCUGAGGACCACCCGAAGGUGGGUUGGUUCUGUAUCUAAUAAACACUACCCUUCCACGAGGGAAGAGGUAUGUGCGCAUGUAUUAGCCAUAGAAUUACCACGGUUAUCCAUGUAGUAAAGACCAUCAAAUAAACUAUAACUGUUUUAAUGAGCCAUUCGCAGUUUCGCCGUAUAAAAGCUUAUACUUAGACAUGCAUGGCUUAAUCUUUAAGACAAGCAUAUGACUACUGGCAGGAUCAACCAGA
rnacentral:rRNA from 1 species